AAAGUAGACGCUACUGUUACAAAUUUUAUCUGGGACUAUAAGAACCACAGAAUAAAUUAAAAAAACAUUUAUGCAAGUCCAAAGUUAAUGGAGGAUUAGCUUUACCAAACUUUCUAUUAUAUUACUGGGCAGUUAAUAUUAAAAAAUAUUACCUUCUGGCUGGAUAACAUUGAUCAACAACCAGACUGGCUAAAGAUGGAGAAGGAGGACUGCUUACCUUUUGAAAUAGGCUCGAUUCUUCUAGCUCCGAUUAAUUUGAAUAAAAAAACAU